rnacentral:tRNA from 2 species
GUCAGGAUGGCCGAGUGGUCUAAGGCGCCAGAUUUAAGCUCUGGUCCUCGUGAGAGGGCGUGGGUUCGAACCCCACUUCUGACA